GUAAGAUGAAGGAAGGCGAACUGCUCAGUAACACGUAGUUAAUCUGCCCUUAGGUGAGGAAUAAGCACGGGAAACUGUGUCUAAUGCCUCAUAGGAGAUUCUGUCUGGAAGGACUUCUCUCCGAAAUUCGUGCCUAAGGAUGAGACUGCGGCUGAUUAGCUUGUUGGUGGGGUAAUUGCCUACCAAGGCUAUGAUCAGUAAGGGCUCUUAGCGGAGUUGCCCUGAGAAGGAAUCUGAGACACUAUUCCUAGCCCUACGGGGUGCAGCAGCAGCGAAUCUUUUGCAAUGCACGAAAGUGUGACAAAGCGAACCAAAGUGUUUUUCAUUUUGAAAAACUUUUCUUCACUGUAAAAAUGUGGGGGAAUAAGGACUGGGCAAGACGAGUGCCAGCCGCCGCGGUAAUACUCGCGGUCCGAGUUGCAAUCAUUUUUAUUGGGUCUAAACCAUCCGUAGCUUGUUUAACAAGUCUCUUGUGAAAUUCCACGUCUCAAGCGUAGAGCGGGCAAGAGAUACUGUUAGGCUAGAGACCGGUAGAUGUAAGGAGUACGGUCGAGGUAGUGGUAAAAUAUGUUAAUCUCGAUUGGACUAACCAUCAGCGAAGGCACCUUACAAGGACGGAUCUGACAGUGAGGGAUGAAGGCCAGGGGCGCAAAACGGAUUAGAUACCCGUGUAGUCCUGGCAGUAAACACUGCUCACUAAACAUUGGGCCCUCUUCGGGAGGAUUCAGUGCUGAAGCGAAGGCGUAGAGUGAGCUACCUGGGAAGUAUAGUCGCAAGGUCGAAACUUAAAGGAAUUGGCGGGGAGACACUACAACGAGUGACGCGUGCGGUUCAAUUAGAUUCUACACCGUGAACCUCACCAGGAGCGACAGCAGGAUGAAGGUCAGUCUAAAGGGCUUACCUGACACGCUGAGCGGAGAUGCAUGGCCGACGUCAGCCUGUGUUGUGAAAUGACCUGUUAAAUCAGGUAACAGGCGAGACCCGUGUGUAUAAUUACUACCGAAAGGAGAACAUUAUACAGACUGCCUUGGUAACAAGGAGGAAGGUGCGGGCUACGUCAGGUGAGUACAUCCUUAACCCCCUGGGCUACACGCGCGCGGCAAUGGUAGACUCAAUGAGAUGCGACUCCGAGAGGAGAAGCUAAUCCCUUAAUGUCUAUCCCAGUGCAGAUUGAGGCUUGCAACCCAGCCUCAUGACGAUGGAAUUCGUAGUAAUCGGAUAUUAGCAAUGUCCGGUGAAUAUGUCCCUGUCUCUUGCACACACCGCCCGUCAAACCAUCCGAGUUGUGCGGAGUUGAAGUUCGUAUGAAAAGAAAUUUUGUUCGACAAGGUAGGUUAAGUCGUCACAAGGU
rnacentral:rRNA from 1 species